rnacentral:lncRNA from 1 species
UAGAUUUAAGGAUUAACCUUCCAAUUGGAAGGGAAUGGAUACUGAGGGAUACCAUGGCCACCUAAUCAGACACAGAAGAGAGGAAACAUAGCAUAUCUCAAGACAACUAGCAACCAAUAGGAAUGUACCAUGAGCGAUGAUAUGCGACUUUAAUGAUAUAACCUCUGUGACAGAUAAGGAUUGAGGGGCACCUCCAUCUACUUUGCUCAUGAUAGGAUCCUAUAAUACUUUAGACUACUGAAAAUUAUCCAACAUGUUAAUGGGAUACCAGUUUACCUAGUCGCGUGGGAAGGACACCAACAUAAUAAGCGA